GUGUGUGUGUGUGAGAGAGAGAGACGCCCUGACACGGCCUUGUGGCCCCGUGUCUGCGUGUGACACCCUGGAUAUUAAUACAUUUGGGAACUUCCUGGGAAAGAGUUGAGGCUCUCAAGGACCUCCCUUUGUCCAAGAGGAAAAGAAGCGGUCUCUGGGCUGUUUAUAAACUCUCACAUUCCCACCUUGUGUGAGAACAGUCGUCUGAAGAACCAGCUCUUAAAAGGAUGACACACACGUCCUCUAGACCUGCUGUUUUUCAAAAUGUUAGUUGCGCUUUUGAUGUUCUUUUUUAAGUUGCUUGGAUGGGAAGAGUUUCAUCAUCAUCGUUAUAUAACAUGGAAAUGGCACUCUGGAAAUGACAUUUAACUUUGUCUCAAAUACAGGCAGGAAAUAUUUAUCAAACACUUCUGCUUUGGUUUGUUUGUUUUUUGUUUGUUUGGGGUUUUUUUUCGAUUUUACAGCUACUCAAAUAUAUUUGGA